rnacentral:rRNA from 1 species
CAGCAGCCACGGUAAUACGAAGGGGGCUAGCGCUGCUCGGAAUCACUGGGCGUAAAGGGUGCGUAGGCGGGUCUUUAAGUCAGGGGUGAAAUCCUGGAGCUCAACUCCAGAACUGCCUUUGAUACUGAGGAUCUUGAGUUCGGGAGAGGUGAGUGGAACUGCGAGUGUAGAGGUGAAAUUCGUAGAUAUUCGCAAGAACACCAGUGGCGAAGGCGGCUCACUGGCCCGAUACUGACGCUGAGGCACGAAAGCGUGGGGAGCAAACAGGAUUAGAUACCCCGGUAGUCCCUGUCUCUUAUAC